AGUGAACGCUGGCGGUAGGCCUAACACAUGCAAGUCGAACGGCAGCACAGUAAGAGCUUGCUCUUACGGGUGGCGAGUGGCGGACGGGUGAGGAAUACAUCGGAAUCUACUUUUUCGUGGGGGAUAACGUAGGGAAACUUACGCUAAUACCGCAUACGACCUACGGGUGAAAGCAGGGGAUCUUCGCACCUUGCGCGAUUGAAUGAGCCGAUGUCGGAUUAGCUAGUUGGCGGGGUAAAGGCCCACCAAGGCGACGAUCCGUAGCUGGUCUGAGAGGAUGGUCGGCCACACUGGAACUGGAACACGGUCCAGACUCCUACGAGAGGCAGCAGUGGGGAAUAUUGGACAAUGGGCGCAAGCCUGAUCCAGCCAUACCGCGUGGGUGAAGAAGGCCUUCGGGUUGUAAAGCCCUUUUGUUGGGAAAGAAAAGCAGCAGGUUGAUACCCCGCUGUUCUGACGGUACCCAAAGAAUAAGCACCGGCUAACUUCGUG
rnacentral:rRNA from 1 species